CUGGGCUGGGUCCUCUGAAAGAAAUCCCGUAAAACCUCAAGGAGCUCACAGGCUGGAAUAUUCUUUCACAGGCAAGCAAGGACCCAGGGCUGUGCUCAAGCUGGGCUACAAGGGCUGGACCAGGGUCUGGGGUUGGGCAUAGGUUGGGCUGACUUGCAGUUGCUGGCCUUGGAGAAAGGAGAAGCAAAGCCACUGUGAUUGGAGGAAGGAGAUUCAGGAAGCAAGGACAGCUCUUAGUGUCAGUUCCAAUGGUUGGGUAUGAGAAAGAGGGAGUAAAAACUGGGGCUUCAAGAAGGCAGGGACUAUAGUUGUAUUUCCUCCCAGUGUAUUCACAGUGCAUCUGGUUCACCAAAGACUCUCAAGGUGACUUCAUCCAUGGCGGCUGUGUGGCAGCGAGCUACUUGCGCAUCUCUUCUGUUCCGUGAGGUCAUGUUGGCAGCUUGAAAUUGAUCAAGUGGGAAGCAUUUACAUCACAGAAAUUGAGCCAGGAUGAGAACCCAGAUUUCCGGAUUCCAAGUCCAACAUCUUUUCAACCAUCUCAUGGUCAUCCAGAAGUGCAACCAGGAAAAAGUCUGUAGGGAGAUCAUGCCUGUAAUACUCUUGCUGGUUAAAAAGAGUAUUAUGGAUUUUCUGACAGCUCUUUUGCUGUGUCACAUCAGCCCCCUGUCUGAUUUUAUGCUU
rnacentral:lncRNA from 1 species